GUCAACAGAGAAUCCACCAUCUAGCCAGCUCUGUGGAAAUAUGGGGUGCGAAUGAUGAUGACAAGAUUAAGAGGUUUUUAAUAGGAAAAGAUUAGAAGAGCUCUAGCACAUAUCUGCUUAGUUUCUUCUAUACACCAACCCUUUUUUCACAUGUUUGAACUUGAACAUCAGAUUGAGGAGAAGAUGAUGAUUCUGGAGUCAUAAGAAGAUCUGGAUUCUUCACGUAAAAGGUUCGAUGCUGCAGCAAACCCAGUGAACUCCAUUCCAAUGAAUCCCUCCAUGAAAGAGUGUACCAAGCAAGAAUCAACCUCGACUCCACAACAACUUAGCGUUUCCUGGAGAGUUUGUGCGGUUUUUCUUUCGUUUCGAUCUCCUUUAAUGUUUUGUCGUCAGUAACUCUUUGUUGUAGUACUUUGGCAUUUUCUGCCACGGUCCAUCGCAUGGCAUCUAAUGAGAGGGGAGCUUGCUGCAGGUUCAUGCAUAUGGAAGAUCAAUUUUUUUUUAUUACUCUACAUAACAAAAAAAGCCAAAUUCUUUUUUGUUUUGUUUUAUAACUUCUGCUGGUCCAAGUCUCCUUCGAAUGUCAGCAACUCAGCAUGUUUUAUCUU